rnacentral:rRNA from 1 species
UACAGAGGGUGCAAGCGUUAAUCGGAAUUACUGGGCGUAAAGCGUGCGUAGACGGUUACAUAAGUCGGGUGUGAAAGCCCCGGGCUCAACCUGGGAAUUGCAUUCGAGACUGCGUAGCUAGGGUGCGGAAGAGGGAAGCGGAAUUUCCGGUGUAGCGGUGAAAUGCGUAGAUAUCGGAAGGAACACCAGUGGCGAAAGCGGCUUCCUGGUCC